rnacentral:lncRNA from 13 species
GUUAUGGUGCUGGAGCUGGUGUGUCCAAUGGACAAGGAGCUAAUGGUUAUGGAAAUGGAUCACCUCAACCUCAAAAUACUAAAGGUGUCGGAGCAGGUGCACCCAUUGGAGGAACUGAAGCGUCCAAGGGAGGAGCUAAAGCACCAAAUGGUGGUAAGCAUUCACUGUCAAAAGCUGAGAUUGUGUACAUCCGCGGCCCUAUGCACUGUAUGUUUCAACGUUUGUAUUAUUUAAAAUAAAACAUUUGCUCACUCUAUCCGAUGUCUGUCAUUUUCCAAUGUCUAUCAAUUGCCACUUUGAUCUUAACUUGUAAGCAAUGAAUAUUGUAAAUGCGCACUUGAUUUGUGAGCCAGUAUUUUUAACUCUUGUGGUUCCUAGGGUAUGGUGUUCCUGCUGGUGUACCCAAUGGACAUUUGGCUAAAGUAGUCAAUACUGGUAAAUGCUCCAUGUUGUCUGAUUGUGGCCUCAGCUUUUCUGUCUUAACCAGUUUGAGUCCAUUUUUGUUCUGUAUGGUUGAGUUUAUCUUGUAUGUGGUUUGUCUCAGCAUGUCCUACAAUAUGUGUCUUCUGAUCUAAUAUGGGGGAAACUAGUAGUAUGGUGUUUAAAGCAUGUUUUCAUGUUCUUCUUGCAUGUUGUAAUUUGUGUCAAUCGGUCUGUACUGUACAGUUUGUCUCAGAGUAACUGUACUAAGGUAUUAUGGUGCAUGUGUUUUAUUUUAUAAGCAAUAAUUGAGCAGUAUUGCAUUUCAGACUUCAAGCAUGUCUUCCUGUUCUACUUAUGCAUGUGCUGUAUGUCUGUCGUGGUUUGUGUUAAUCGGUAAGGUGUCCCUUGUUUGUUUUUAUCUCCUAAAUGAUCAUGUCAAGAUACUGUCAUACUGCAUGUUUCACUGUUGCACUUUUUCACUGAUUAGUUAUCUUUUAGUUGGUACAAAGUUACUGUGUUUUGGUUCCCAGGUUACGGCAUGCCAAAUGGAUACAGCAUGUCAAAUGGUCAGGGUACUAAAGGUGUUGGUGCACCGAAUGGAAAGGGCCCCAAAGGUGAAGUUCUUACUCCUGAAGCACUAAACCUUGCACCGGCACCUGAGCCAGGAUUUGUAGUACCUGAGCCAACAAAGGGUGUAGCUCUAAUCUUUCCACAAGGGAAGACAUACCCUAAGCCAGCACCAGUUCCACAAGGGAAGCUUUUCACUAAGCCAGUACCUAUAGUACCACAGGCAAAGAGUCCAAAGACAGUGCCAGAGCCAGCACCGGUUCCACAAGGAAAGACAUACGCUAAGCCAGCACCAAAGCUAGCACCUGUCGUUCCACAAGGAAAGCCGUGCCCUAACAAAGCACCAGCGGCAGCACCAGUUCCACAAGGGAAGACAUACCCGAAGCCAGCCCCAAAGCCAGCAGCUGUAGUACCACAGGCAAAGAGUCCGAAGCCAGCGCCGGUUCCACAAGGGAUGCCGUACCCUGAGCCAGCACCUGUUGUUUCACAAGGGAAGCCGUACCCUGAGCCAGCACCUGUCGUUUCACAAGGGAAGCCGUACCCUGAGCCAGCACCUGUCGUUUCACAAUGGAAGCCGUACCCUGAGCCAGCACCUGUCGUUUCACAAUGGAAGCCGUACCCUGAGCCAGCACCUGUCGUUUCACAAGGAAAGACGUACCCUAAACUAGCACCAGAGCCAGCCUCACAGGCAAAAAGUCCAAAGCCAGUGGCACCAGCCGUGCCUCAAGGAAAGAGUCCCAAAGUACCAGAUAUGGGUUAUGUCACUGGAAGUGAGGUCCCUGAGAAAAAAAAUGGUGGGUCGGGCACACCUCCUGGGAAAGGUGAUUGGGGCGUAGACCCUGAAACUCAGGUGCCUAAAAGUACUGGACCCAUGGUUACAAAGGCUGUGCCUGCGUUGGUACCUGAAACGAUGGCAGCUAAAAACACUGGUCCCAUCGUCCCUGGAGAAACCCUGACUAAAAGUGCACCAGGGGUGGCACCGGAAGAAGUGAGCAUUAAAAGUGAGCCUGCAGUUGUACCUAAAAAAUCAGCAGUGGAACAUGGGGUGCUGGAAUCUAAAGUUGGGAGUCCACCUGCUAAACUAACACUUGAUAUUGUUUGCGUCUUUGGAUGUGUAAGUGCUGUCAUAUAAACACAGUGUAUGUUUGUCACACUGGUCCUUGCAUAUGUCUACACCUGUCCCGCACCUGUGUGAUGUGUAGUGUAUGUGUCCUCUGUGACAUGUCAAGUCCUCUGUUUUGUCUUGUCAACAAGUUCAUCCUAUGUUGGUAUCAUUUAUGGCACUGUCAGGUCUGUUUGAGUGUGUCACAUUAUUUAUUUUGAAUUGUUUUAGUGUGUUGGUUGUCAUAUUAAUUUUAUGUUUUUGUUGCAUGCUUUCUUGUGGUGUUGGCUUUUCGCAAAAUUUAUUUAAGAAAAUGUAGGUAUAUUAAUGUCAUGAUGUGUUUUUUCUUAUUGUACUUCUCAUGUGUUGGUCUGUUGGAACUUCCGCUGGCGCACGGCUGCAUCCAAUGUUAUUGGACAUGAAUAACCUAAAUGAUACCAUAUAGAUUGUAGGUUCAAGUAUUUGUUUGAUGUUGAGUGUGAAGCCUGUGGUCUGUCUAUGAAGUAAUUGGUUGUUACAAGACAUCUCUUUGUGUUUCCCUAGUUUGAGAUCAGUUUCAAUCAACGUUUUAAGUAUGAUGACUGGAUUACUGGCGGUUAUUUGUCUUGAUAAGUCUGUGGUGUAGCCUGAUAUUUCUCUGCGAGUAAGUUGAGGGAUGUAUGUUGAGGUCGGCCUUGCCAGUCUUGUUUUAUUGAUACCGUUGUGACCCCUAGUAGAUGGUGAAGGAGCUGGGAACCCCAAUGGCAAUGGGCAGGGAGCUAAACCAGCCAAACCUGGUAAACAUCAGUUACUAGUAAAAUAUACAGUAUAAAUACACCCAUAGAUAAAUACAAAGUAUAACUAAUGUAGAAAUAGUUUGCUACCCCAGCACCGCAUUUGUAUACAGUAUAAAUAUAGUAAAUAUACAGUAUAAAUACACCCAUAGAUAAAUACAAAGUAUAACUAAUGUAGAAAUAGUUUGCUACCCCAGCACCGCAUUUGUCAUUUUAUUCAUUUGUUUACUUGAAUACAUGGCAUUCUAUUUAUAUUGCAUUUUUCUGACAUGGAUAUUCUAGACGGUGGACCAUCAGGAGUGCCAAAUGGACAAUGGGUGAAAAUACCCAGUAAUGGUAAACCAAGAGUACUAUAUGUUAUUCACAGGUGAUCUGAAUGGCAUUUAUUGAACAAUGUGCCAUAAUCACCUCAACCUAAAUGGUUUAAAGUGCAUGCUGUUUUUCUGUUUUUGCCUAUUUGUGCAGUUCAUGUUUUUGCAUGGAUAUUGUUUGUCCUGGCAUGGUAACAACUGCUGGAAUGUCUUUGCUAUUGUACGGUGAAUGUUGAGUCUCACUCUGAGUGCAUGACCUUUGACUCAUGCUGCUUGUGACCCCUCUUCCCUAGAUUGUUCACGUUGAGCACCUGCGACGUGUCCCACUUGGUUGACCUGUGCUGGUGGAGGAAUUGUUCAUUUAUAGUGCUGAACCUAACUUGAACACAAUAAUAUCAUACGACAUGUAUAGGAGUUACACAGUUGUAGAACAGUUAACUCGUACCUGAUUUCACUUUACACCAUGUUAUUUAAGGUUAUGGUCCAGGAGCUGGUGUCCCCAUUGGCUUGGGUGCUAAACCCAAUGGUAAAUUUGCCCUAAUAUCAUACAUUCUUGCCUAAUAUCAUACAUUCUUGUGCAUGCCAUCAAUGAGGUCUUCCACACACUCAGC